AGAGUUCGAUUCUGGCUCAGGAUGAACGCUGGCGGCGUGCUUAACACAUGCAAGUCGAACGAAGCACUCUAUUUGAUUUUCUUCGGAAAUGAAGAUUUUGUGACUGAGUGGCGGACGGGUGAGUAACGCGUGGGUAACCUGCCUCAUACAGGGGGAUAACAGUUGGAAACGACUGCUAAUACCGCAUAAGCGCACAGGAUUGCAUGAUCCGGUGUGAAAAACUCCGGUGGUAUGGGAUGGACCCGCGUCUGAUUAGCCAGUUGGCAGGGUAACGGCCUACCAAAGCGACGAUCAGUAGCCGACCUGAGAGGGUGACCGGCCACAUUGGGACUGAGACACGGCCCAA
rnacentral:rRNA from 1 species